ACGGAAUCAAUUCUAAUUAUUCUGCGCGAUCAAGAAGAGCCUGUUUAAAUUUCUUGAUAUCAAAUUCAUCUCGCCUUCUUAAUUUCUCUCUAUAUACCGUAACCUCUGCCAUGAUAUUAGAAAUCAUCAUCAUUAAUAUAGCCGUGGUAUUCGGUCCAUGCUAUCCUCCCGAAUCGGUGUAUAAUUUCAUAUCUGGAAUUUUUGGACGUUUCCUUUUGUUGGAAAUAGCUCAACCACCAACGGACGAUGGCAAAACUUCGUACAGAAAACAAUGGUUAACAGUAGCCACCAUGGGAGAUCGAGUUUUAUUUUUAAUCUAUCUUAUUGUCUUGUUAGCAAUACCUAAAACUGGUUAAUGAUAAUAAUUUAUUAAUUUAUAUGAAAUUUAUUAUUGCUAAAAUUAUAUAUAAUUUUAAUCUUGUUCUACAUCUGUACUGUACUUUCCUA
rnacentral:lncRNA from 1 species